UAGACCAUGUUUACUAGUACUAGUGCCAUGUAUUAGAUAUAGCUGUAUCCUGGAUCAAUUUUCAUGUGUGUGUAAGGAUAGUUCUGUAGAUAGCUAUUUAUGCAGCCCGCGGUUUCAAAGGAUCAUUCCAUUGAGUAGAGUUUCAUGUGUGUAAAUGAGAACUGAAUUUGGCCCUUCCUUUUGGAGCUCAGUCUGUGGUGAGGAGCUGGUCUCCUUACUGGCUUACCCUAGCUGUGGCACUCUUACCAAUACUUUCCCUUCUGCAGGGAUAAUUAGUGCUGGCGUGGAGGAGACUUGGAUUGAAAAGUGACACAGCAAAGACACCACCGGCAGAUGCUUCUUCACAGUACAGCAUUGCUAGAAUAGCAUUAUCUGCAUAUACAGUUAUAGCAUCUGCCAA
rnacentral:lncRNA from 1 species